rnacentral:lncRNA from 1 species
GCCGUCACCAGCUCCGGUGCGGUGGCUCCAUUGCCGGCCGUUUCGGAGCUCGCCGGCGACGACGGACUUCUCGAUUCCGAGCACCGUUUCGCGAAAGGAAAACACCGGGAUGAAGAGGAGCUCACCACGAUCUCGUCUAAGCGCUUGGUUGGGUCCGAGAGAUGACGAAGACGGCUCGCGGCGUACGGAGAUGGAGUUGGCUUUCGGCGAGAUCCGAAACCGCUCGGUUUUAGGUGGCUAAGGCUUGGCUUCGCGUUUUAGAUGCAAAAGGGGUUCGCUGCGGUGCUAGGGAGCUUUAUAGGGCGCCGAGGAAACGAUUUUGGGAAGAAAUCCCGACUUCCAGCGAUUCGGUUUGGCUUCCGGUUGGUGUCUGCUCGGUGACGCUCGGAAGAUGAACAGGACACUGCGCUGCGGGCCCGAGACGUCAGUGAGAGAAAAGGGUUUUUUUUUUCUAUUUUACUUUCCAAAGCCUUUUUCAACAGAUAAUUUGAAUGCAAAUAAACUCUCACAAAAAAACAGCAAGCAUAGAAUAAGAUGUGCUCCAGCAUGAUUACAAAACAUGUUUCUAAGCUUAUGAUGAAUUUUAAUUUCAACAAAAAUUUAUUUGUUUUCUAAUUUAAAUGCUCACAAAAAAAUAUUCAAAUAAAUCAAAUUAAAAUCCUAUUUCUUGAAAAUCAGAUUUCGGGUGUUACAAACUCUACCCCCCUUAAAAGAAUCUCGUCCUCGAGAUUGAGCAGUGCAUAAACAAACCACUGUGGAUAUGUCCUUCUCCAAACAUUCUCUUUUUUUUUCCAAGUUGCUUGUGUCUCUAAAUACCAAUUCCAUUGUACUAGCAACUUCAAUGUCUCUAACCAGGUAACAUACCUCGUAACUUAUCUGAAAAUUUAUUCCCUACACAGUCCUGAAGAUCAACACCAUCAUCCAGCUGAUUCACUGUAGCUGUGGGUGGAGCCUGCACUGCUACAUCCACACUGAUUCUCUCUCCCUUGGGUGUUGUCACAACUACUACUUUUUCUUUGCACUUAAUUUCCGUAGCAUAUUUCUUCAUCCAAUCCAAACCCAAUAUCACAUCUAUGCCUGAGGUUCUCAUUACCAUGGGACUAACAGGGAAAUCCACCCCCCUUAAAGAAAGACUUGUUGAGGGGCAACAAUAUGAAACUGGUAUAGUCCCUCCCGGUGAGUUUACUAGCAUAUGGGUUUUCAGGGCAACUAGUGGUAUGCUGUGAACUCUAACAAAUGCUUGUGAUAUGAAUGUAUGCGAAGCUCCAGAAUCAAAUAAAACUGUAGCGGGAAUAGAGUUGAUACUGAACGUACCCAUCAUAAUCUCCGGUCCCUCUUGUACUGUCUCUGCAGCCACAUGGUUCACCUUUGCUCCAUGAGAAUUAGACUUUUGAUUGUUGUUCCGCUGGUUGAAUCUCUCCGGACAAUCAUAUGACAUAUGACCUUCUUUCCCACAGCGAAAACACCUAGUAGGGAUAUUGGGAGCACUUCUCUUCAUAGAGGUGGCAUUUGAAUCUCCGGAGCGGGAAGUCUGCUGUCCACUCUGUUGAUGAUUAGGAUUACGCUGAGAUUGUUGGUUGCGAUCCCAUUGACUAACUGGUCCAUGGUACCUCUGUUGAUCGCCCUGCUGAGAAUUGAAACGUUGGCGGUUGUUGCCUCCAGACCCUUGGGCUAGCAUCCUUCUCUUCUUGUCCUGGUCUUUUCGCAUGUUAUCCAACACAAUAGCACGGUUCACCAGAGCCUGGAAUGUAGGGUAGGUAUUUCCAGCCAGUUGCAAUCUGAGUUCAUAGUAAAGACCUUUCAUGAAGAGACGUUGUUUGUCAGCAUCUUCUCUGACUUCGUUUGGAGCAUAGCGAGCCAACUGCUCAAACAUGUCAUGAUAUUCUGCCACAGUCAUAGAACCCAUCCUAAGAGAUCUGAAUUCUUCCUGCUUGAGCUCCAUCAUUCCUUCAUUGAUGUGUCGUGCUCGGAAGUCUCUGCAAAAUUCUAACCAAGUGACAGGAGGAGCAUUGUUGGGACGAGCAGCUUGAUAUGACUCCCACCAUGUUUGGGCUGCUCCCUGAAGCUGUCCAGAUGCAUACAACACCUUCUCCAAAUCAUUGCACUGUGCUAUGUUCAGUUGCCUCUCCACAGCACGUAACCAAUCAUCCGCCUCCAUGGGAUCCGCUGAGUGUGUAAAUACCGGAGGUCUUCCCUUCAUGAAUUCCCCCCGCUUAUCUCUCAUAUGAACAGGUGGUGGUGUUGGUGGAGGUUGUUGUUGUAGGUGUUGCAUGAAGACGUGCAUCAUCUGAUUCUGAGUUUGCAUAAGUUCCUCCACAGUAAUUGGAGCAUUGUCACCAUUGCCACGGCCUCUGCCUCUGCCUCUUCCCCUUGCUGCCAUCUGCAUUCCAAGGUAUAUAAACACAUCUUAGUAAUGUCCAACAUGACAAUUACAAGAGUUAACGGAAUCUGGAAUUUUCUGGGUAACAUCCAACAUCAGCAGUUCAGAAAAUCAGUAAUAUAUCGAGCUCCAGAAUUCAAAAGGAUACAUGCUGUACACCGUUGGAAAGAUAAAGAAAUUGUCUACAACUUUCAUUCAGAUCAUUUUACCAGAUUCUAACGUUAGGUUAAUCAAAAACUGUGUGCAACCGAAACUGUUCCAGAAUUCCAGACUGCGCAGAAACCUCAACUUGAAACAGUCAUAACUCUCAGCUCAUAAUCGAUGAUAUGGUCAUUCUUGCGGCAUUGGAAAGAUAUGGAAGUCUACUUGUUCCCAGAAAAAUUUGAUGGACAUUGCAUGAACAGAUUUUGAGAUGUACCAGAUUCAUUGCAGACUGCUCCAUAAAACAGCAAAGGACAGAAACAGAAUUUUAACCAACCCCAACUAUUUAGUUCCUUAAUCCUUAUGCCUUAAGCCUAUAAACUAAAUGAAAUUGUAGAGGAAAUCCACAAGAUCAUUGCACUCAUUACAAAGAUCCAAAUCAAGCAUAAGCAUAAUAACAAACCAAACCAAGCAUCAAAGGUUAACAUUUCAAGCAUUAACUCAACUUGCGGUACUAUCGUUCUCUUCCUAUUAAGGGCAAAGAUUCCUAAAAUUCUCUUUCAACUAUGUAAGCAGGUGGUAAGAGAAGGUUCUAAAAGCAUAUUCAAAGCAAGGAGUGGGGAUGAGAACAAGUCUUUAAAAUAAACAACAAGGUGAAGAUGAAUAGGAUAUAGUGUAGAAGAAAAUAUCAAGGUUUAUAGAGCAAGGAUUUUAUAGCAAUUUCAAAACCUUAAGACGACCAAUUUCUAACUAGGCUUGCGUCCGACAGUCAACAAAGCUCUGAUACCAAUUUGUCACACCCAUAUUUUAAGAACAAAAUAGGAUGCAUAAAAGACUCAUAUGUGCCCCAGGAAUAGUCGCACACAUAAGUAGACAAAUCUCAAAUGUACCAUUGCAGUGUUUAUUACAUAGCGAAACAUAAUAAAUCACAUAGUCUCAUACAAAAAUGAUAGCAUAGAGUAAACAACGCUCUCGACGGAAGCUCCACACAGGGACACUGUUGACUGGUUGACUCCAAACCUAGUACUCAUACCGAUAAUCCUCAUUCCAGUCAUCUUCAUUAUCAUACCCUGAGGUGUUGGGAAAUUGCAAGAGUGAGCACAUAUCGUACUCAACAAGUAUAACCAGGGGUUCAUGAGGCUCAAAUAGCUGACACUGGUUUGACUGCAAUUAGCUUUUAAUAGUGGAUAGCAUGUUCAUAAUUAAUGAGCAAUUGUCAAGGAAGCAUAAAUAAUCCAUUAAUCCCAUGAUCAUGUGUAAGCAUAAUUAAUCCAUUGCAUAAACGAUAAUCAAAUGAACAUAACAACUUAAUAAGCUCAUCGUCGGCGCAGCAAGAACCCCCAAGGCCGCUCAUAACCGUGAGCACGGCUAGUAUACCAGUUUUACACUCUGCAGAGGUUGUACAUCUUUACCCAUGAGUCAUGAUUUACCCUUUCGCCCGAGGUAGCUAAUCUCUUAACCCCCUUCCUAGGGAGGUCGGCAGGGAUCACUAUGAAGCCUUUCAAAAGUUCGUCUAACAAGUUAGGGCCGCAAGGUUUCCUUUGCGAGCAGAUAUAGAUACCCCCCUUCCGAAUGGCACAAUGACGCGCAGCCUAUACACAUAGGGACAGGGGCUCGCACUAUACCCGUGUCGGUUCAGCCCCUCCGCCCUUUCGGGUAACCUCUAACAAGCUAGAAAAGGUCUUCAUACUGAGCUAAAGCCAGAGCCAUUAUAGCCCUCAUGGUUGCACUGUUGUCCCGGUGAUCACUUACAGACAAGAUCUCAUAUAGUUAUUUGUCAUCAUUUAACGUUCAUUGCAUAGCUAUUAAUUAUCUUACAAGAUCAUGGAUUAUAUCAAGCACUAGCACAUCUACACCAAAUGCAUAUCAAGUAGGUAACAAGGAAUCCAGGUAACAAUCAUCUAUGAUUUUGCUAAGGUCGACAAGGUGAUAGCAUGCAUAUGAUAUAUAUGUGUAGUUAUAAGUGAAUAGGUAACAAGGAUGAUCCCAAGUUAUACUUGCCUUGACCAAAGCUCUCCUGAGCCCGCUGGUCUUCAAAAGCUUGGUCUUGAUCACCAACGUACGGCUCACCGUCUAAUCCCAAUCAUCAAUCAACAACACGCAAUCCAAUGUAGACAAUCAUACACGAAGCAAACAAGGUAUAAUUAGAACAAUACACCAAACAGUGGUAAAACAAAUAUAAAAGUUUAUGAUAAUAUUCUACGCAGCGCUACGAUCACACAAACGUAAAGUUCACGAAAAUCGGAAUUAAAACGAGUAAGAUAUGAAUUUUCUAAGAUUUCCUAUAAAGAAAUAAUUAAUUAAAUGCUACUGCAGAAUUAAAAAGUUUCAAAACAGUAAACUAAUAUUUCUAACAUGUAGAGAUCGUAAAUACGAAUCUAACGCAAUUUGAAUGGAUAAAAACGGAGUUAAAACGAAUAUUUUAUGAGCAAAACAAAAUCAGUGGCAAUCUUGUAAAUAGCAGAAAAGCAUUUUUUUUUUCAACCGGCCGUCACCAGCUCCGGUGCGGUGGCUCCAUUGCCGGCCGUUUCGAGCUCGCCGGCGACGACGGACUUCUCGAUUCCGAGCACCGUUUCGCGAAAGGAAAACACCGGGAUGAAGAGGAGCUCACCACGAUCUCGUCUAAGCGCUUGGUUGGGUCCGAGAGAUGACGAAGACGGCUCGCGGCGUACGGAGAUGGAGUUGGCUUUCGGCGAGAUCCGAAACCGCUCGGUUUUAGGUGGCUAAGGCUUGGCUUCGCGUUUUAGAUGCAAAAGGGGUUCGCUGCGGUGCUAGGGAGCUUUAUAGGGCGCCGAGGAAACGAUUUUGGGAAGAAAUCCCGACUUCCAGCGAUUCGGUUUGGCUUCCGGUUGGUGUCUGCUCGGUGACGCUCGGAAGAUGAACAGGACACUGCGCUGCGGGCCCGAGACGUCAGUGAGAGAAAAGGGUUUUUUUUUUCUAUUUUACUUUCCAAAGCCUUUUUCAACAGAUAAUUUGAAUGCAAAUAAACUCUCACAAAAAAACAGCAAGCA